rnacentral:tRNA from 2 species
GAGGAAGUAAAAUAAUCAGUUUAGUAGCAUAGUCUCCAGGAAUUAUAGUUGCGAGUUCGAAUCUCGCCUUCCUCU